rnacentral:rRNA from 1 species
AUUGAACGCUGGCGGCAUGCCUAACACAUGCAAGUCGAACGGCAGCAUGAUUUGUAGCAAUACGAAUUGAUGGCGAGUGGCGGACGGGUGAGUAAUACGUAGGAAUCUACCCUAAAGCGGGGGAUAACCCGGGGAAACCCGGGCUAAUACCGCAUACUGCUCUGAGGAGGAAAGCUUGGUUUAUCAGGCACUUUAGGAGGAGCCUACGACUGAUUAGCUAGUUGGUGAGGUAAAGGCUCACCAAGGCGAUGAUCGGUAGCUGGUCUGAGAGGAUGACCAGCCACACUGGGACUGAGACACGGCGCAGACUCCUACGGGAGGCAGCAGUGGGGAAUAUUGGACAAUGGGGGCAACCCUGAUCCAGCGAUGCCGCGUGUGUGAAGAAGGCCUUCGGGUUGUAAAGCACUUUAGGUGGGGAAGAAGGUAAGUAGGUUAAUAGUCUAUUUGCUUGACGGUACCCGCAGAAUAAGCACCGGCUAACUCUGUGCCAGCCGCCGCGGUAA